rnacentral:rRNA from 1 species
GACGAACGCUGGCGGCGUGCUUAACACAUGCAAGUCGAACGGAAAGGCCCUGCUUUUGUGGGGUGCUCGAGUGGCGAACGGGUGAGUAACACGUGAGUAACCUGCCCUUGACUUUGGGAUAACUUCAGGAAACUGGGGCUAAUACCGGAUAGGAGCUCCUGCUGCAUGGUGGGGGUUGGAAAGUUUCGGCGGUUGGGGAUGGACUCGCGGCUUAUCAGCUUGUUGGUGGGGUAGUGGCUUACCAAGGCUUUGACGGGUAGCCGGCCUGAGAGGGUGACCGGCCACAUUGGGACUGGGAUACGGACCAGACUCCUACGGGAGGCAGCGGGGGGGAAUAUUGCACAGUGGGAGGAAGCCUGAUGCAGCAACGCCGCGUGCGGGAUGACGGCCUUCGGGUUGUAAACCGCUUUCGCCUGUGACGAAGCGUGAGUGACGGUAAUGGGUAAAGAAGCAACGGCUAACUACGUG